AACGAACGCUGGCGGCAUGCCUAACACAUGCAAGUCGAACGAAGCCUUCGGACUUAGUGGCGCACGGGUGCGUAACGCGUGGGAAUCUGCCCUUGGGUUCGGAAUAACAGUUAGAAAUGACUGCUAAUACCGGAUGAUGUCUUCGGACCAAAGAUUUAUCGCCCAAGGAUGAGCCCGCGUAGGAUUAGGUAGUUGGUGGGGUAAUGGCCCACCAAGCCGACGAUCCUUAGCUGGUCUGAGAGGAUGAUCAGCCACACUGGGACUGAGACACGGCCCAGACUCCUACGGGAGGCAGCAGUGGGGAAUAUUGGACAAUGGGCGAAAGCCUGAUCCAGCAAUGCCGCGUGAGUGAUGAAGGCCUUAGGGUUGUAAAGCUCUUUUACCAGGGAUGAUAAUGACAGUACCUGGAGAAUAAGCUCCGGCUAACUCCGUGCCAGCCGCCGCAGUAAAAC
rnacentral:rRNA from 1 species